CCGAACCGGUGUGACCGGGAGCGGGGGCGGCUCCCUGGCAGAGCGCUGCGCGCUCCCCAGCCGGUUGGCAUCGCAGGGGACGCUGGCUGUGGCGCGGUGUCCGGCCCCGGUGUGUGAAGCGGCGCUGACGCACCUCAGGCGUACCGGGGAGGAUGCCCAGCUGCCGGGCUUCUCGGGGGUGCCCAGGCACAGGAAGUACCGGCUCAGCACUCAAACCUCGCCUCUCCGCCCGGCUGCCGGCUCCCGGCUCAGGUACACACCCAUCCCGGCUGGCAGGCAGCCGGGGCAACGAGGUCACUGUGCUGACAAGAGGCACUACUUCACACUCUGCACCAGACUGAAGACGGAUGAUGUUUCCUGGGGAAGACGGGCAAGGACCAACUGUGGGGAGGGAAAAGCAAAGUGUCUAACCAUACGUGCAGACACCAUGUCAUGCAGCAAGUCACACCACACACCUUUGCACCAUGCUUUGAGAAGAGGUGGCUGAUACAAGACUGACUCAUUUGUAAGGGCCCAUCCCCUCAGUCUUAAAACCUAAAGAGCCCUACCAUACCUCCUGUCUGUCAAAAGAUAGGGCAGUCAUUUAGUAAUCCAAGUAAAGCAGCAGGAAUAGGAAAGGGUUUUGGCACACUGACUUCCUCUCUGUGGAAAUAGGAGCAUCAGCUUCCUGAAAUAAACACUUUCACUUUACUCUUUCACUGCUCCUGCUCUCUUGUAGCUACAGUAACUGACCAGGCAGUGAAUGGACACUGGACACUGUGUUCAGUGGCAGUGCCAGAGAGAAACGAAAGACAUACCCAGUUUGAUGGACAGAAGAGUCAUUGUUCCCAAGUGGGUAUGUAAAUUAGGAAACACCUUGUGUGUGACAAAACCAACAUCUGAAUCAAUGAGUCUAAACAGAAAUUCAGCUUUUAGACUUUGAAGGUUAGAGUAGGAAUCAUAAGCUCUGAGAGAUGAAAAGUUUGUUUCUACAUUAGUGUUUAUGACUCGUCAUAUUGUUAUUUUAACAUCAGAAAAUCACCUUCUAAAUAUCAAACGAAUAAUAUACUUGUAUUUCUAUCCUUAUAAAAAGCCAUUAGCCUUUUAUUGAACAACACCACCACCUCUAUCGCUCCACAUUUCUGAAUACAUGCGCGACACAGAGCAAAGCUUUCUCUCACUUGUGACAGCCUGAAAUUGCUGCCAGCAGAUGACACCACUUCCAGAAAGUUAUCUAUUUCUUCACUAAAGAACCACAGGCUUCUGUCAUGCAGCUCUCCCCAACCACUUCACAGCUAUCAUAGCCCUGGCAAUGCAAAAGCAUUCACCAAGAGCAAACUAGAUAAAAAAAUAUUUUUUCUGUCAAGGGCUGUAACACCUUCAAACCAAAAGCGUUCUGCCAACAUGCCAAGUAACAGGCCAACUCUGUAAGUUUUUAUAAAUGGCACAUAAAAUACUUUAUCUACCAAACAGACUCAGAAGUGGAGUUGCUGCAGCAACUGGCAAGAGCACACAAUUUAAGGACAGCAAGUGAGCCUGAUCAGUUUCUACAUCCAUGCUAUAGCACUGCUUGCUUCUUUUACUACUUCUUAUGGGUGAACUGUCAAUGAAUUUUCUGGAUCCCUUUUGAACUUGCUGGUACUGUCUGCCACCUUUGGCAUUACAUCUUAGAAGGUCAGAGUCUGCUGCAUAAAUUAUCACCUCUAUCAGUGUGAAAUAUCACCUUAAUAUAAAUUGGUCAAUCUGUUUCAAAUGAGGAAGUGGUGACUAGUAUUUGACUAGUAUUUGUAAGAUUUGGUGAAUACUAGUUCUACAUCCAUUUGACUCAUAGCUUUCAAGAUAUUGAAAUUUAGUUGCUCUUCUUUUAACUCCACUAUGGACUCCCUCCAAAUGUAGAAACCAGAACUGCCCAGCUCUGAAAACAUGGGUCCACUGGUCUUACACAGGAGCCAAGUAAGACCACCUGUUUUGUUUGCAUCACAAAUGCAUAGAUCUGUAUUGGAGCUCAUCUAUAAUUUUUCCCUAUAGGAGCAUCUGACAAAACUGAGCUUCUUGCCUCAGCACCAGUGUUGCACUACUUGAGAAUAAAGUCAGGUGAUACCAUUGUUCAUUCCUUCCCUCUUCAGAGCAGGUGGAAGUGGAAGACUGUCCCUGUGGGAGGGACCUCACUCUCAAGCAGCAGAGGACUGUGAAGAGGAAGGAGCAACACAAUCUCCAUCCACCUGUGCUGCUGGGAGACAGGAGGUAGAGAAUUUGUGCAGGAAGUCAAGCACAGGAAGAAUGGAGGUGUGGGGGGAAGGUGUUUUAUGAUUUGUUCUUAAUUCUCAUUAUUUCUGAUUUUAUUGGCAGUAGAUUCAAAUAAUUUCCCAAAACCACGUCUGUUUUGACUGCAUGUGAGUAACUGCUGAGUGAUCUUCCUGUCCUUAUCUUGAUGCACGAGUCAAGAUGCAAAUCCAUUACAUUUUUUCCCCUCUCCUGUUGAGGAGGGGCAAGUAAUAGAGCAGUUUUGGUGGCUAGCGAAGGACAGCCCACCACAGCCAUUCCAUGCAUUAGUUAAUCUCUUGCAAUUGUACCCUUUUCAAAGGGAAAUAAAAACAAAAAUACAGUAUAAAGUCAGACAGUCCAUCACAGCAUAUGAGCAAAUGCAAGACGAAGAAUUUUUAGUGCAAAAUAAUAGUACAAAAUUAUAUUUGGAAGCACUUUGUUUUAAACACAGCUAAACACAGCUGUCAUCUGUGAUAACAUCUUUUUCUUAUACAUAGAUUUAGGACUUUUACAAUAAAGUACUACAUUUCAAUCACUGACCAGUUCAGCUGUCACAUAUCAAAUAAUAAAAUCCAUCCUUUCCUUUC